rnacentral:rRNA from 1 species
GAUGAACGCUGGCGGCGUGCCUAAUACAUGCAAGUCGAGCGAACGGACGAGAAGCUUGCUUCUCUGAUGUUAGCGGCGGACGGGUGAGUAACACGUGGAUAACCUACCUAUAAGACUGGGAUAACCUCGGGAAACCGGAGCUAAUACCGGAUAAUAUUUUGAACCGCAUGGUUCAAAAGUGAAAGACGGUCUUGCUGUCACUUAUAGAUGGAUCCGCGCUGCAUUAGCUAGUUGGUAAGGUAACGGCUUACCAAGGCAACGAUGCAUAGCCGACCUGAGAGGGUGAUCGGCCACACUGGAACUGAGACACGGUCCAGACUCCUACGGGAGGCAGCAGUAGGGAAUCUUCCGCAAUGGGCGAAAGCCUGACGGAGCAACGCCGCGUGAGUGAUGAAGGUCUUCGGAUCGUAAAACUCUGUUAUUAGGGAAGAACAUAUGUGUAAGUAACUGUGCACAUCUUGACGGUACCUAAUCAGAAAGCCACGGCUAACUACGUGCCAGCAGCCGCGGUAAUACGUAGGUGGCAAGCGUUAUCCGGAAUUAUUGGGCGUAAAGCGCGCGUAGGCGGUUUUUUAAGUCUGAUGUGAAAGCCCACGGCUCAACCGUGGAGGGUCAUUGGAAACUGGAAAACUUGAGUGCAGAAGAGGAAAGUGGAAUUCCAUGUGUAGCGGUGAAAUGCACAGAGAUAUGGAGGAACACCAGUGGCGAAGGCGACUUUCUGGUCUGUAACUGACGCUGAUGUGCGAAAGCGUGGGGAUCAAACAGGAUUAGAUACCCUGGUAGUCCACGCCGUAAACGAUGAGUGCUAAGUGUUAGGGGGUUUCCGCCCCUUAGUGCUGCAGCUAACGCAUUAAGCACUCCGCCUGGGGAGUACGACCGCAAGGUUGAAACUCAAAGGAAUUGACGGGGACCCGCACAAGCGGUGGAGCAUGUGGUUUAAUUCGAAGCAACGCGAAGAACCUUACCAAAUCUUGACAUCCUUUGACAACUCUAGAGAUAGAGCCUUCCCCUUCGGGGGACAAAGUGACAGGUGGUGCAUGGUUGUCGUCAGCUCGUGUCGUGAGAUGUUGGGUUAAGUCCCGCAACGAGCGCAACCCUUAAGCUUAGUUGCCAUCAUUAAGUUGGGCACUCUAAGUUGACUGCCGGUGACAAACCGGAGGAAGGUGGGGAUGACGUCAAAUCAUCAUGCCCCUUAUGAUUUGGGCUACACACGUGCUACAAUGGACAAUACAAAGGGCAGCGAAACCGCGAGGUCAAGCAAAUCCCAUAAAGUUGUUCUCAGUUCGGAUUGUAGUCUGCAACUCGACUACAUGAAGCUGGAAUCGCUAGUAAUCGUAGAUCAGCAUGCUACGGUGAAUACGUUCCCGGGUCU